CCUAAUAAUUAUACAUACACAAUUAACGAUACUCAUUGGCAAUGCAGGUUAAACACAUUUUUAAAGCAAUGGCAUGUCUUUUAUGUUGGCAGCCUCAUGACUUAAAAAGCCUAUGACAUAAAAAUGAGAUUACACUUUCAUUUUUUUAACCCAAAUUAUUAUAACAUCAGCCCAUAUUAUUACUGCUAGAAACUAACCUGACUCACAGUAUUCUUAGCAAUUUCAUGAAUGCUCUAGAAUAAGCCCCUCGAUUUCUUAUACCUUUAAUUUUUCAUCUUGUCACCAUGCUGUUACCCCUGAUGCUGAUGAUCCUCAUGAGAAAGCCACUCUACCUGGCACUGCUGCCUCCAGUCUUAACUAUCCCUGUGCAUCCCACCAAGAGGAAGACUUUCCUUGCAUCGAAGGUAUCAGUUUGGGAUGCUCUUCCAGCUCGAUCUCAGAUGCAUGCAAUGAAGGAGGUAGAAGCUAGACUUUCCCUGAAACUUCAAUAACCUUUCUGAACAACAUAAACAUGUACUACAAUCAGAAGCAAAGGUGGCUUUGCCACUCAUAUCAGGCCUGUCUCCACCUGCCUAUCAGUAACACUUCAGAUCCCUGGAUGUUAGACCCCAGCUACUCCUGAACCAGAGGGCAAGCAAUGGCUACCCCAUCCAAAGGAUGUGCCUUAUUGGUUAUAUGAAGAUUAGAUACUCCUAGAAUGGGUGAUACUACUAUCAUCCAUUCUCUUCAAGAAAAAUGCUCGUGUCCAACAAGUGAAACACAAAAUAGUGUGGAUAUUGAUACAUUUCCCUGAGUCUGGAUUGUUUUAGCCACAGUCAACUGUAACAUUGUAAUUUUAGAAAAUGAUUUUUUUCAAAAAUAUGUUUAACUGGGAGAAAUAUUUUGUGACUUGAAUAAAUUCAUACGACUUCACCAAGGAACACAAGCAUGGGCAACAUAUGUAAAAUACAGACUCUGCUUUUUUCUUUAUAAAACCUCUGUGAUCUUUAUUAUGGUAAAAAAAGUAUCUUGGAGACAAAUGAGUUAUUUAACCAUAAUUACCAGUAAGUUGUGUCUUACUUUUUACCAAAUAAUUUUCACAUUAUCUGAUGUAACUUUCUUGAGAACUUACAGUUACCCAUAUAUUACAGAAAAGCCUGAGCCUCAUGGA
rnacentral:lncRNA from 10 species